CGAGCGGACAGAUGGGAGCUUGCUCCCUGAUGUUAGCGGCGGACGGGUGAGUAACACGUGGGUAACCUGCCUGUAAGACUGGGAUAACUCCGGGAAACCGGGGCUAAUACCGGAUGCUUGUUUGAACCGCAUGGUUCAAACAUAAAAGGUGGCUUCGGCUACCACUUACAGAUGGACCCGCGGCGCAUUAGCUAGUUGGUGAGGUAAUGGCUCACCAAGGCGACGAUGCGUAGCCGACCUGAGAGGGUGAUCGGCCACACUGGGACUGAGACACGGCCCAGACUCCUACGGGAGGCAGCAGUAGGGAAUCUUCCGCAAUGGACGAAAGUCUGACGGAGCAACGCCGCGUGAGUGAUGAAGGUUUUCGGAUCGUAAAGCUCUGUUGUUAGGGAAGAACAAGUACCGUUCGAAUAGGGCGGUACCUUGACGGUACCUAACCAGAAAGCCACGGCUAACUACGUGCCAGCAGCCGCGGUAAUACGUAGGUGGCAAGCGUUGUCCGGAAUUAUUGGGCGU
rnacentral:rRNA from 1 species